GGAAGCGUGGCAGAGUGGACGAUCGCACCGCUCUUGAAAAGCGGAGUACCUUUACGGGUACCGGAGGUUCGAAUCCUCCCGCUUCCG
rfam:Candidatus Sungbacteria bacterium RIFCSPHIGHO2_02_FTLL_49_12 rifcsphigho2_02_scaffold_8780, whole genome shotgun sequence.